GCCGUUAUAGUAUAGUGGUCAGUACUUCCGCUUGUGGGUCUGCAAAGCCUUCUAGUUACGCGGACAACGUAGGUUCGAUUCCUGCUAACGGCA